rnacentral:rRNA from 1 species
AAACCAAGAAGAUUAAGUCAUGCAUUUUUGGUGAAAAGACAGUUAAGCAGCAUAAAAAGUUUGUUUAAUUAUUAUUGAGAAGUAAAAUUCGCAAAUAAUCUAGAGAUUUAAUCAAAACUAAAAAGCUGAAGCUGUGACAUCCUCGAGGGAAACUGGGAUUAGAUACCCCAUUAUUCUUGGAUAUAAAAAAAUAUGAAUUUACCAGAGUACUAUGGAUUGAUGACAUUUAAAACUCAAAGAGCUUGGCGGUGUUUUAGACUCUUUAGGGGAACCUGUCUCAUAAUCGACAAUCCACGUAAGACCUGACCUUUAUUUGCUUUCAGUUUGUAUACCGUCGUCGUCAGGUAACUUUUUAGAAGAAAGAAGUUAGCGAUUGAGCUUUCAAUAAGCUCUUACGUCAGAUCAAGGUGCAGCCAACAUAAAGGGGAGGAUGGGUUACAAUUAUAAGAAUUAUAAUUACGGAAUGACCGCUUUGAAUAGCAGUCAUGAAGGAGGACUUAAAAGUAAAAUAAAAUAUAUAAAUAUAUUGAAUUGAGCUCUGAAACGUGC